rnacentral:rRNA from 1 species
ACCUGCGGAAGGAUCAUUAUUGAUAAUAAACCUGAUGAGUUGCUGCUGGUUCUCUCGGGAGCAUGUGCACACUUGUCAUCUUUAUAUCUCCACCUGUGCACUUUGUGUAGACCUGGAUAUCUCUCUGAAAUGCUAGCGCAUUCAGGUUUGAGGAUUGGCUUUCCAGCCUCUCCUUGCAUUUGCCGGGCCUAUGUUUUUUCAUACACCCAUCCCUGUUUAUAGAAUGUAAUAAGGGCCUUUGUGCCUAUAAACCUUUAUACAACUUUCAGCAACGGAUCUCUUGGCUCUCGCAUCGAUGAAGAACGCAGCGAAAUGCGAUAAGUAAUGUGAAUUGCAGAAUUCAGUGAAUCAUCGAAUCUUUGAACGCACCUUGCGCUCCUUGGUAUUCCGAGGAGCAUGCCUGUUUGAGUGUCAUUAAUAUAUCAACCUCUUCAGAUUUUGUGUUGGAUGUGGGGGGUUCUUUUUGCUGGCCCAUUACAUAGGUCAGCUCCCCUAAAAUGCAUUAGCAGAACAUUUUUUGUUGAUCCGUUCAUUGGUGUGAUAACUAUUUACGCUAUUGACGUGAAGCAACCAAGUUCAGCUUCUAACAGUCCAUUGAUUUGGACAAAUUUCAUUAAUGUGACCUCAAAUCAGGUAGGAUU